GUUGCAAGUGAUGAUAGAACAGACAGGGACAUCAGCAACCCAGUGAACUGGGGAUGAUGACUUGGUCUAAAUUGGGAAUCUCUCUGAUGCAAU
rfam:Punica granatum cultivar Dabenzi scaffold192, whole genome shotgun sequence.